GACGAACGCUGGCGGCGUGCCUAACACAUGCAAGUCGAACGGAGAUUUCAGCAAUGGAAUCUUAGUGGCGAACGGGUGAGUAACGCGUAGACAACCUACCUUCUAGAUGGGGACAACACUGCGAAAGUGGUGCUAAUACCGAAUGUUGUAUGUGAAACGCCUGUUUCACAUACUAAAGGUGGCCUCUAUUUAUAAGCUACCACUAGAAGAUGGGUCUGCGUCUGAUUAGCUAGUUGGUGAGGUAAUGGCUCACCAAGGCGACGAUCAGUAGCCGGUCUGAGAGGAUAAACGGCCACACUGGGACUGAGACACGGCCCAGACUCCUACGGGAGGCAGCAGUGGGGAAUCUUCCGCAAUGGACGAAAGUCUGACGGAGCAACGCCGCGUGAGUGAAGAAGGUUUUCGGAUCGUAAAACUCUGUUUUCAGGGACGAAUGUGCAAUAUGUGAAUAAUGUGUUGUAAUGACGGUACCUGACAAGAAAGCCACGGCUAACUACGUGCCAGCAGCCGCGGUAA
rnacentral:rRNA from 1 species